rnacentral:rRNA from 1 species
UACGUAGGGAGCAAGCGUUGUCCGGAAUCAUUGGGCGUAAAGCGCGCGUAGGUGGCUUCAUAAGUCCGUUGUGAAAGUCAAAGGCUCAACCUUUUGAAAGCCGAUGGAUACUGUGGAGCUAGAGCACGGAAGAGGCGAGUGGAAUUCCUGGUGUAGCGGGUGGAAUGCGCAGAUAUCAGGAGGAACACCAAUAGCGAAGGCAGCUCGCUGGGACGUACUGACACUGAGGCGCGAAAGCGUGGGGAGCGAACAGG